GUAGGAUGUGUAACUUUAAAGACGAAUGCAUGAAAGGGAAUGUAAAAGUGGGUAUGCAUGAUAUGAAGAAUGAUUGACGUUGACAGACGAACGUGUGACAGUGAGUUUGGGGGUGGCGCUAAGCGAGUGAAGACGGCAAGACGUGUAUUUUUAUUUCUCUGUGUAUUUGAAUAAACCAGCAUUUUAACGACUUUGGAUUUUUUGAUUUUAUCCCACAUAUAUAUAAACUUAUUUUUGG